rnacentral:rRNA from 1 species
GAUGAACGCUGGCGGCGUGCCUAAUACAUGCAAGUCGAGCGAAUGGAUUAAGAGCUUGCUCUUAUGAAGUUAGCGGCGGACGGGUGAGUAACACGUGGGUAACCUGCCCAUAAGACUGGGAUAACUCCGGGAAACCGGGGCUAAUACCGGAUAACAUUUUGAACCGCAUGGUUCGAAAUUGAAAGGCGGCUUCGGCUGUCACUUAUGGAUGGAACCGCGUCGCAUUAGCUAGUUGGGGAGGUAACGGCUCACCAAGGCAACGAUGCGUAGCCGACCUGGGAGGGUGAUCGGCCACACUGGGACUGAGACACGGCCCAGACUCCUACGGGAGGCAGCAGGAGGGAAUCUUCCGCAAUGGACGAAAGUCUGACGGAGCAACGCCGCGUGAGUGAUGAAGGCUUUCGGGUCGUAAAACUCUGUUGUUAGGGAAGAACAAGUGCUAGUUGAAUAAGCUGGCACCUUGACGGUACCUAACCAGAAAGCCACGGCUAACUACGUGCCAGCCGCCGCCGUAA